GGAAGAAUCGCCGAUCCCUAGGGCCCGAUCUUGGUGAGAAGUACUCCAAACGGUGGGUUCGAUUUCCAGAGCUCUAAAGCUGAGUUUCUCCAUCGGGGUCUCUGUGCCGGUUGAGGUGUUUCCUGUCGUGGAGGUAAAUCGAGUGGCUCACUGAGAGGGGCUCGGCCACGACUUCCAGCAGCUGGUUUGCCUCCGGGAAACAGUAGUCUCGUGGAGGCUCUGAAUGGUGAAUUUGUGGCAGUAGGCAGCACCAGCGUGCCAGAGCCG